AUUUAUAUAGUUUAAUACAAAACACUACAUUUUCAUUGUAAAAAUAGUAAGUUACUUAUAAAUU
rnacentral:tRNA from 1 species